GACGAACGCUGGCGGCGUGCUUAACACAUGCAAGUCGAGCGGUAAGGCCCUUUCGGGGGUACACGAGCGGCGAACGGGUGAGUAACACGUGGGUGACCUGCCCUCAGCUCUGGGAUAAGCCUGGGAAACUGGGUCUAAUACCGGAUAUGACUCCAUGACGCAUGUUGUGGGGUGGAAAGCCUUGUGCGGCUGAGGAUGGGCCCGCGGCCUAUCAGCUUGUUGGUGGGGUGAUGGCCUACCAAGGCGACGACGGGUAGCCGGCCUGAGAGGGCGACCGGCCACACUGGGACUGAGACACGGCCCAGACUCCUACGGGAGGCAGCGAGUGGGGAAUCUUGCGCAAUGGGCGAAAGCCUGACGC
rnacentral:rRNA from 1 species